rnacentral:rRNA from 1 species
UACGUAGGGGGCAAGCGUUGUCCGGAUUUAUUGGGCGUAAAGAGCGUGUAGGCGCCAGACAGGUCCGUUGUGAAAACUCGAGGCUCAACCUCGAGACGCCGAUGGAAACCGUCUGGCUAGAGUCCGGAAGAGGAGAGUGGAAUUCCUGGUGUAAGCGGUGAAAUGCGCAGAUAUCAGGAAGAACACCCGUGGCUAAGGCGGCUCUCUAGUACGGUACUGACGCUGAGACGCGAAAGCGUGGGGAGCGAACAGG